GGCAGCAGUGGGGAAUAUUGGACAAUGGGCGAAAGCCUGAUGCAGCGACGCCGCGUGAGGGAUGAAGGCCCUAGGGUUGUAAAGCUCUUUCAACGGUGAAGAUAAUGGCGGUAACCGUAGAAGAAGCCCCGGCUAACUUCGUGCCAGCAGCCGCG
rnacentral:rRNA from 1 species